rnacentral:tRNA from 1 species
GCGGAUGUGGCGUAAUUGGUAGCCGCGCUAGACUUAGGAUCUAGUGCCGCGAGGCGUGGGGGUUCGAGUCCCUUCAUCCGCA